UACAAGCUGAUGGCGGCCAACGGAACU
rnacentral:sRNA from 1 species